rnacentral:tRNA from 1 species
GUAGAGCACUUCCUUGGUAAGGAAGAGGUCCUGAGUUCAACUCUCAGUUACAGCU